UAGGGAGCCACCCUUAGAUGAUGUCCGGGCUUUCUUUCCUUUGUCUCUCUGCAAUUGGUAUUCUUCACUAUUCCAAUAGAGAAUAUACUGUUGCCAUAAGGGUUGACUAAUCCAAUCAGGUUGAACAAAGUUGGUUUGGGCAUAAUCCAACAAACCAUUAAAUCUGGAUCUACAUCUUCUGAAAAAGUUCCUCUUUAUAAGACAUGCAUUCGCAUCAUCCCAC
rnacentral:lncRNA from 1 species